rnacentral:rRNA from 1 species
GACCCCACCGAAGCUGGAUUCGCUAGUAAUCGCGCAUCAGCCAUGGCGCGGUGAAUACGUUCCCGGGCCUUGUACACACCGCCCGUCAAGCCAUGAAAGCCGGGGGGCGCCUGAAGUCCGUGACCGCGAGGGUCGGCCUAGGGUGAAACCGGUGAUUGGGGCUAAGUCGUAACAAGGUACC